rnacentral:pre_miRNA from 1 species
AAGUAGUGUGACAUUCCGUUUAUGUUGAAAUACUCUGAUGUUUAUGUAAAAAUUUUAUGUUUGGAAAACGGGGUGUUACACUAAU